rnacentral:rRNA from 1 species
UACGAAGGGGGCUAGCGUUGCUCGGAAUCACUGGGCGUAAAGGGUGCGUAGGCGGGUUUUUGAGUCAGGGGUGAAAUCCUGGAGCUCAACUCCAGAACUGCCUUUGAUACUGAAGAUCUUGAGUCCGGGAGAGGUGAGUGGAACUGCGAGUGUAGAGGUGAAAUUCGUAGAUAUUCGCAAGAACACCAGUGGCGAAGGCGGCUCACUGGCCCGGUACUGACGCUGAGGCACGAAAGCGUGGGGAGCAAACAGG